UACAUGGGGUGCAAACGUUGCUCGGAAUUAUUGGGCGUAAAGCGCACGUAGGCGGUUCGUUAAGUCGGAUGUGAAAGCCCUCGGCUCAACUGAGGAAGUGCACCCGAAACUGGCGAGCUUGAGUACGAAAGAGGAUCGCGGAAUUCCCGGUGUAGAGGUGAAAUUCGUAGAUAUCGGGAGGAACACCGAUGGCGAAGGCAGGUCUCUGGGCAUUAACUGACGCUGAGGAGCGAAAGCAUGGGGAGCGAACAGG
rnacentral:rRNA from 1 species